rnacentral:lncRNA from 1 species
GGGAGACUUUCUUGGAAACAGAUAAAGGAAAGAGUCCAGUAAUUUGUAGCAAUGUGACUGCAGCCACACAUGCUCCAGAAUUAAUGUUCUUCAUUAGGGCCAGAUGUAGCUCAUCAUCGGUUGGAAUCAAUUCCAGAAGAGGUGUUAGAGUCUGUUGGUCCAAGAGAAAGUCUGAUCCAGGCACCAAAAAGAGCCAUGAGGAAAAUGGAUACUAUCUCCACUGAUCUCCCAACAAUUUAGGUAGUCCAAUAUUCAGUUCAUAUUAAGCAGUGGGAUAACCUAG